rnacentral:rRNA from 1 species
GACAGAGGUGCCAAGCGUUAGGCGGAAUCACUGGGCUUAAAGCGUGUGUAGGCGGACUCGUAAGUACCUUGUGAAAUCCCACAGCUCAACUGUGGAACUGCUGGGUAUACUGCUUGUCUUGAGCCACUCAGGGGCUGUCGGAACAAACGGUGGAGCGGUGAAAUUCGUAGAUAUCGAGAGGAACACCGGUGGCGAAGGCGGCCAACUGGACAGAUACUGACGCUGAGACUCGAAAGCGUGGGGAGCAAACAGG